CAGCUUUGGCUGGGGGAGAUCCGGGGUCCCACCGCCCGGAACUGCUCAGCACCCGCCAGGUUCUUCAUGGGCGUCGUGGGCCUUCAGAAAUUUGGCAAGAGUUGCUCCACCACUUCUCCUCUCAGGUUCUUUAGAGACUCCUCCUGUGACAGAUUCCAGAUCCUUCUAUGCCAGCUGCGCUCCCUUUGCCCCCACCGUCUGCCUCCAGACAUGGCCUGAGUAGCACCGACACACAGAGGGCCUCUUGCGUCCCCUAACAGCCCGUCCCCCAGUUUACCCAACCGGCUCUUGUGGCGGGGUUUCUGGUCACUGUUGCAUGCUUCCUGCGAGCUGCUACACUUGGUGCUUGGAAAGGCUCCAGCGCUCAAAAAACUCUGGUUUAAAGAAAGCUCAGCCACAUUAUGGUAUAAGACUGUGGAUUAGAACAUGGGUGGAGAAGGCAGGGCUUGAGUUCCACUAUCGUUGCAGCCAUUUCAAUCUCUCCAUGCCUCAGUUUCUCCUUUUGUACCCUGGCAAUGAGAACUGUAUCUACUGCUUAGGAUCAUUGUCAGGAAUGAGUAAGUUUAGACUGUUCAGCGCUUAGGACAUAGUGAGUGCCAUGACGACUCAUGUGUGGUCAGUGCUCAGGAAAUGACUGCUCAGAGUCCCCCCUCAGUGACUUCCUUCUGGAAUCUUCCAGUUGGAAGGGGUCUUUGAAGGCCAUGUAGUUCCAGUCCUAGGCCAAAUGCACCAGUGAGAAAACAGGGAUUAGAAAGAGGCUGGAUCCUGCCCAGGGCCAUAAGAAUCUAGCUGCUAGCACCGCAUCCCAUGACCAUGGCCUUCAACCCAUGGCAGUGCACAUGGCCCAAGACCCUGGGCCCAGACCAUGUGCCUAGGCUCACACUGCCACUCUUCAGGAUGUUUGAUCCCUGCCUCCAGCCAGGACCAGGGCUGCAGAGGUUGGGGCCCUAUGACCUGAAGAGGCCCUGCCUGGGCCAGGGCUUAUGCAGAAGAGAUACCCUGCUUCUGGUACCUUCUUGGGAGGCCAGAGCACCCACCCUCAGCUUAGGACCAGGAUCUUCAACAAGUCCAGACCUUCUGAGGGGAUGUCAGUGGCAUGGGCAGGCUGUAGAGAAAGCUGGGGUGGGAGUCAGCAGCCAGGGUUCUAGAACAGUCCACACCCCUUGACUCACUAAGAGUCACUUGUACAAUGAGGGGCUUGGCCUUGGGAAUUCCUCAAAGGAGAUUAGUACCUCUCCCAGGUCACAAAGCCAAUUCUCAGGACUUGUCCCCACAAGGCAUGCCACUCCUGGCAGGGGAGGAGGGCUGCCAGCGUUUCCUGGGGCUUGGAGUUACACUGCAGUACAAGACGGAAUCAGGAUCCCCGUGCAGCAGAGGACGGUGAGACGGGACAGCUGCUGUGCAAAACAGCGUGGCAGGUCCUCAAACAAUAAGAUACAGAGUUAUCGUGUGACUCAGCAAUUCCACUUCUGGCCAGAUGGUGGAAGCGACCCAGGGUCCGCGGAUGGACGAGUGGUCUGUACGUGCAUCGGGAUAUUAUUCAGCCUUCACGAGAAAGGAAAUGCUGACGCGUGCUCUACCAUUCGGGCAAACGUCGAAGACAUCAUACAAAGUGAAAUAAGCCCGUCACAGAAGAACACAGGGGACAAGUUCUGACUCCACUCACACGAGGCACCUGGAGAAGUCAAGUUCAUAGAGACGGGAAGAGCGGUGAUCGCUGGGAAAUGAGGAAUUAUUGUUUAAAGGAUUUUAUUUUAUUUAUUCAUGAGAGACACAGAGUGAAAGAGAGGCAGAGACACAGGCAG